AGAUCAAGUAGUGGUAACCUAGUUUCACGUACUGAGAUUGACGCUUUGAAGGAAAUCCGGCAAUCGUCUGGUAUGUUGGAUCUGCACGCCGACCGAACCGCCGCCACCAGCGCCGACGGAGGCAUUUGGGGGUUCUCCAGCUCGGUCCAUGGCGAGAGGAGGAGAAGGUAGGAAAGAUAGAGGCAGAAGCGUUUGAAAAGUCAAUCAGAUAAUUGAAAUCUGGGAUUUGAAAUGCAGGUUUUGCUGGUUCAUUUACAUGUCCUUCAGAAAAGGAAAAAGAGAAGAAUCAAGGUUUUAUGGAGUUGAUAUGGAAGGAACAUGCGCAUUGACCAUGGGUAUGGAGGCGACUGACAAUAUCUUGUAAAGAGAUCACAAAGACCCCACAGGUUAAAAACCAGAGCUCGCCUGAAAACCUACAGUUUGGUUCAGAGAGCCAUUCUACUUGUUGUAGACCUCGCCCAACCCGGAAAACAAAUCCACAAUACUUGGGUUAACUAGCCACUGAUGAUAAUAUUAAAAUUCUAAA
rnacentral:lncRNA from 1 species